GAUGAACGCUAGCUACAGGCUUAACACAUGCAAGUCGAGGGGUAACGAGAGGAAAGCUUGCUUUCCUUGUCGACGACCGGCGCACGGGUGAGUAACGCGUAUCCAACCUGCCCCCAACUAGGGAAUAACCUUGCGAAAGUAAGACUAAUACCCUAUAAUUUCCUCAGAUGUCAUCUGACGAGGAAUAAAGAUUUAUCGGUUGUGGAUGGGGAUGCGUCUGAUUAGCUUGUUGGCGGGGUAACGGCCCACCAAGGCAACGAUCAGUAGGGGUUCUGAGAAGAAGGUCCCCCACAUUGGGACUGAGACACGGUCCAAACUCCUACGGGAGGCAGCAGUGAGGAAUAUUGGUCAAUGGGCGGAAGCCUGAACCAGCCAAGUAGCGUGCAGAAUGACGGCCCUAUGGGUUGUAAACUGCUUUUAUACAGGAAUAAAGUUAGCCACGUGUGGUUAUUUGUAGGUACUGUAUGAAUAAGGACCGGCUAAUUCCGUGCCAGCCGCCGCGGUAA
rnacentral:rRNA from 1 species